rnacentral:rRNA from 1 species
CUUUCUAAGAGUUUGAUCCUAGCUCAGGGUGAACGCUGGCGGCGUGGAUAAGGCAUGCAAGUCGUGCGAGCGUAGCUCGAAAGAGUUGCGCGAGCGGCAAACGGGUUAGUAAUGCGCAGGGAUCUCCCCAAAAGAGGGGCAUAACUCUCCGAAAGGAGAGCUAAUUCCCCGUACGCUCUUCGGUCUUCGGACUGGAGAGGAAAGGCAUCGCAAGGUGCCGCUUUCGGAGGAUCCUGCGUCCUAUCAGCUAGUUGGUAGGGUAACGGCCUACCAAGGCUUCGACGGGUAGGGGGUGUGGGAGCACGACCCCCAACACCGAGACUGAGACACUGCUCGGACACCUACGGGUGGCUGCAGUCGAGAAUCUUUGGCAAUGCGCGAAAGCGUGACCGAGCGACGCCGCGUGGUGGAUGAAGCCCUUCGGGGUGUAAACACCUGUCGGGAGGGAAGAACUUUGACGGUACCUCCCUAUUGAGGGGUUCCUAAUUCUGUGCCAGCAGGAGCGGUAAGACAGAAACCCCAAGCGUUACCCGGAUUUAUUGGGCGUAAAGCGUCAGCAGCCGGUUCGGCAAGUAGCGUGUGAAAUCCCAGGGCUCAACCCUGGCGCUGCACGCUAAACUGCCGAGCUUUGAGGAAGCGAGAGGCACACGGAACGUGCGGUGGAGCGGUGAAAUGCGUUGAUAUUGCACGGAACACCAAUGGCGAAGGCAGUGUGCUGGCUCUUUCCUGACGGUCAGUGACGACAGCGUGGGGAGCGAACGGGAUUAGAUACCCCGGUAGUCCACGCCGUAAACGAUGGGCACUAGGCAUGGGACAUUUGUUCCGUGUCGGAGCUAACGCGGUAAGUGCCCCGCCUGGGAAGUACGGCCGCAAGGCUAAAACUCAAAGGAAUAGACGGGGAGGCGCACAAGCGGUGGACCAUGAGGUUCAAUUCGACAACAAGCGAGGAACCUUACCUGGGCUUGAAAGUCACGCGAACGCGCCAGAAAUGGCGCCGUGCCCGUUCGGGAACGCGUGAUACAGGUGCUGCAUGGUCGUCGUCAGCUCGUGUUGUGAAACGUUCCCUUCAGUGGGGUAACGAGCGCAACCCCUGCCGCGCGUUAUACGUGUCGCGCGGGACUGCCGUCGUCAAGACGGAGGAAGGUGGGGAUGACGUCAGAUCAGCAUGGCCCUCUGACGCCCAGGGCGACACUCGUGGUACAAUGGCCGGUACAAAGGGACGCCAAGCCGCGAGGCGGAGCAAAUCCCAUCAAAGCCGGCCCCAGUGCGAAUCGGAGUCUGCAACCCGACUCCGUGAAGCCGGAAUCGCUAGUAACCGUGGAUCAGAAUGCCACGGUGAAUACGUUCUCGCCUCUUGUACUCACCGCCCGUCAAGUCAGAAGAGGGGGAAACACCUGAAGUCCCUGCUUGCAGGGCCCACGGUGGAGCCCCUGAUUAGGACUAAGUCGUAACAAGGCAUCCCUAGGGGAAUCUGGGGAUGGAUCACCUCCUUU